UGAGUUUAUUUAUUGUAAUUUGUAAUUCUGUUUUUAUUUCAUUCAGAAUUUUUUGGAAGAACUAAGAAGGAUCCUUUCCUAAUCCUAGUUUGAUGUGAAAAGGAGCCAAAGGAGGUCCCACUUUACAUGCAAAAUGCAACCUAAGAAUUUAUUGUUCACAGCUCCCACUUUAGUGAAGAAAAAGUGUAAGAUAAUUAACUUUUCGAUUGUUUCACGACUCUUUGGAUUCCAUCAAUUUCAUUGCUUGCAGUUGCAGUUCCAAUUUUAGUUACAUAAAUAUUUUGGCUUAAUCAGAAUUCGAAAUAGAAAGGCCAUUAGAAGAUGGAUCUAUCAUCUGAAUCUGCUAGUGCAAACUCACCAGAUGUACAAAAUCGUUACACAAGAAUUCGUAUCAAGUCAGAGCGCCCUGCUCCUACACAAUCGCAAUCUAAGACGAGCAUCCGGCCGGAGCAACUCCGUGUGUUGCACAACGAGCUAAAGGAAAUUAACAAUCUGAUGGAAACACUUCAAACGGAUAUGAGUAAGGGGUUCGACAGUGUAAAUAGACAAUGUGAUGCUAUAGAAGCAGGACUUCAAGAUAUAAAGAAAUCUAUAUGCGUGAAUACAGAUGCUAUCAUAAAACACCUCAAAACCCUUCGACACUCACAAAAGUGAGAUUAUCAUCAACAUCUAUACUCUCUCUGAAGUCGCCUGGUGGUUUCUCAUCACGCGAAUAAGGAGCUCUUCGAGAGACUUCAGAAAAUAACUAAACGAAUCAAUCAACGUUUCGCAGUACAAAUAAUUUAGUUUAUUAUUUUGUUUUAAAUUUUCUUCUCAUAAAGUGUAACCCUCGUUUCUCCUAUGGGAAAAUAUUAUAUUUAAAGUGAAACCUGAUGUUUGUAUUUAAACAGGAACCAAAAUACAUACUAUCAACUAACAAUUUUGACACUUUCGUGCUCGUUGGGUUCACUACCUGUGGAGUAGAGGGGAUCAAAUGCAUUGGUUAUAUGGGAGAAAUUCAGUUUUUCGACUUCGUAGCGAAAAUAAGUGAAUUUACGUGAAGUUUGAUGAGGACUUCUCUCUAAGAAAAUAAACUUUCCCGUCGAAUGAUGUACAC